UGCUAAAGAGGAAAAAAUGUAUUUGCUAAUUUGAUGCCAUGAGGAAGAUACUAAACCACAAACAUAGCUGGAGCA